rnacentral:rRNA from 1 species
UACGAAGGGGGCUAGCGUUGUUCGGAAUCACUAGGCGUAAAGGGCGCGUAGGCGGCCGAUCAAGUCGGGGGUGAAAGCCUGUGGCUCAACCACAGAAUUGCCUUCGAUACUGUUUGGCUUGAGACCGGAAGAGGUUAGUGGAACUGCGAGUGUAGAGGUGAAAUUCGUAGAUAUUCGCAAGAACACCAGUGGCGAAGGCGGCUGACUGGUCCGGUUCUGACGCUGAGGCGCGAAAGCGUGGGGAGCAAACAGG